AUGACGACCCUGGAUGCGGCCGUGGCGACGGGGAGAGCCGCGGAUGCGACAACUCGCGAAGCCGCGAGGGCUGGGGCGACCGCAUCAGACAUAGCCUCUCUCGCCAGCCAUGGAAUGCAUCGCGCGACACCCGCCGCGAUGAGGGGCGCGAUGGCCGCCGCGAUGGUGGAGGCCGUCGUCGCUCUGCCGAGCCAGCCGUCGAUGCUCAGCCCUCCUUGGUGCUUCUGGGAUCCGGCUCUGGCAGUGAAGACGCUGCCCGCGGCCUGGAGUUGCUCCCGGUGUAGGCCCCUCCUCUGCCUGCUCCUAGGCGUGGCCGCAGCCCGGCACGCCAGCUUUCGUCACGCUUGGCGCGGCGUCGUUCACAGGAGGCCCGCACGCCGCCUGCCUCCCCUCCGCUGUCGUCAACGACAGUGCUACCACCACCGCCUCGGUCCAAAAGAAGUGAUGACCGCCCAUCCCCGCUCUCGCAGGGGCGGCCAAGCCAAGUGCUGCUCCGCCUCUGUGCAUCAGACUCUCUUCAGGCGCCGCUGCUCUCGCCCGCCAAGCCGCCUGGCUUCGAGGCCUCCCCGACGCCUCCACUUGUUUCCAACGGCCCUUUGUGGCGCACGCCCUCGCCGAUGCGGCUGCGAAGGAAGGCUGCGGCGGGUGGUGUCGUUGGCUUGCAGUGCCUAG
rnacentral:rRNA from 1 species